rnacentral:misc_RNA from 1 species
AUGUGGCACUCCGGGAGG